rnacentral:tRNA from 1 species
GCCGGCGUAGCUCAGUUGGCAGAGCAACGGUUUCGUAAACCGUAGGUCGGGGGUUCGAUUCCCUUCGCCGGCUCCA